UUAUCAGUACAAAUAAUAUGCUGGUGAGCUAAGGCCACACUAAAGGACAAGAAAGACCCCCUGAAGCUUUAUAGGGAUAAAGAUCUAGUACACAUCCAGGCGUUUAUAAGCUGAUGGCCAACAAGAAGCGAGACGAUGGACGCUAAAGAGCCAGUAGAUGCUGCGUGAACACGCGGCACUGUUUAAUUGGGGCGAUAAACCAUGUG
rnacentral:rRNA from 1 species